GCUGAGGUGGCUUCCUGGUAGAGCAAGGGUGGAGAAAGCUGGCAUCUCUUGGGGUGUCUAGCAGGAGGUGAGUGGAUGUGUUGUUUCCAUGGACAUACCAUUGUCCAUUUUCCUCUCUAGGUUGUGACAAAUUGGGACUGGGCUUCGCCUGGUGAGGUGGAGGCUGGUGUUAAUUUAUUCCAUAAACUUUCCCCCCUGUAACCUUCAUAUAACAUAUUACUUCCAAGGUAGAGUUACUUUGUGAUUACUUUGAGUACGUGACUAGAGUUACUUUGGAGAUGUGCUUAAUUCCUUCUAAUGGGAUAUGUUCAGGCUAAUGGAAUAAUUCACAAGUAGGGAUGUUUGUGUUGUGUGUGUGUGUGUGUGUGUAUGCGUUUGUGUGUGACUCAUCAGAAAAAGCACACACCAGUAUAUUCAGGAACCUGCUUACUCUCUUGCCUGCUUGGAAGGCGUGGUGCCUCUUGUUCUACCUCUGUUUGCAUUUGGAACCCUCAGUGCAAAUUCCUGGUCUUCCUGAAUAACUGUACGCAUCGGAGCUGCAGACCACGCGCUGCUUCCGGAGGAGUUGUAAGGUGCACUGGAGGUACUGAGGGCUUCAAUAAGGCUGUGCUACAAUUCGAGAAGAGAGAGACAAAGCAAGAGAAGGAACACAAGCAGGGGGAGUGGGAGAGGGAGAAGCAGGCUUCCCGCGGAGCAGGGAGCCCGAUGCGGGGCUCGAUUCCAGGACUCUGGGAUCAUGACCUGAGCCGAAGGCAGACGCUUAACGACUGAGCCACCCAGGCGCCCCAAAGUUUUGUGAUGGGCAUAUCUUGCAAGAGAAGCUGGCACUCUUUGUCACAGAGCUAAACGUGCACCUGGCCCAGGAUCCGUAGAAGCUGAAGUGGGAGAUCUAUCUGGAGAUGGAGAAGUUGUUCACUUGGCUGCUACCCUGUGCCACCCAAGAGAACAGCAUGGAAGCAUGAUGUCCAGGAGCUGCAGCUAUACCUUGAGCCUGACAUUGACCUUCCCAGCACAAAAGGAAGAUGACUGCUCCUCCUCUUUUGCCUUUCAAAUGCUGUCUUUUGUGCUUCAAAGUCACCUAGUCCUACGUAGAGAAGGGAACUCUGGGAGAUUUAGCCAAGCUGACAUAAUACAAAUCUACCACACUUGCCUAUGUUCUUGUCUUUCCCCAUCCCAUACAUUCUUUAUUUCUUUUUUUUUAAAGAUUUUAUUUAUUUAUUUGAGAGAGAGAAUGAGAGAGAGCACAUGAGAGGGGGGAGGGUCAGAGGGAGAAGCAGACUCCCUGCUGAGCAGGGAGCCCGAUGCGGGACUCGAUCCCAGGACUCCAGGAUCAUGACCUGAGCCGAAGGCAGUCGCUCAACCGACUGAGCCACCCAGGCGCCCCAUUCUUUAUUUCUUUUUAACUGCAAGAUAAGAUGCAAAAUUUUUGCAUAUUGUGUUAACUAAACUCAAUGGAAUCUUUGUUAUUAUAUGACAGUUUUAAAAAAUUUUUUGAAGUUUUGAAGUUUUUUUGAACUGUUUGUUCAACUUGUAUUUAGUCCUCAAUGAAUUCCUUACAGUCUUUUUCUAGUCUCAUCAAACCCUUACUUUUUCCUCAUGCUUCUCUCUCCUGUUGCUGAAGUUUUUUUUUUUUUUAAAGAUUUUAUUUAUUCAUUUGAGAGAGAGAGCAUGAGCCGGGGGCUAGAUGUGGGUCUUGAUCCCAAGACCCCAAGAUCACGUCUUGAGCCAAAGGCAGAUGCUUAACUGACUGAGACACCCAGGCAUCCUUUCUCCUGUUACCAAUGUUAAUUAAAGUAAAGGGAUGUAGGCUAGAUCUGUGGUUCUCAAACUUUAGGGUGAUUGAGACUCAGCUAGAGGCCUUAUGAAGACAGAGAUUGCUGGGUCCCACCCCCAAGAUUUUUAAUUCCACAGGCCUAGGGAGAUGAGAAGAAUGUCCUUCUGGCAAGUUCCAAUGUGAGGCCAGACUGCAAAGGUUUUAGUGGUGAGCUAAGGAUGGGGAUGGAGAUUGAACCAAGGUAGGCUGAGCAUAGUACUAUGGUAAUAACAGGGUUUUGGGGAGAGACCCCGUGUUUUAAACAUUUGGAUGGCUCCCUUGGCCCUGGUGUCAUACAACUUGCCUGCUACAUCUAGGGUUAGCUUUACGGGUUUCUAGGAAGAUCUUAAACCUAUUCCAUGUGUAUUUUGGUUUUAGCAAAAAAAACCACACAAAAAACAACCCCCCCCCCCCCACAAAACAAAACAAAACAACAAGACAUACUGGAAUAAAUGCAUAUCCAGACCCUUGAUGAGAUGGUGAAGACAUGCGGAAAAGAAGUUCAGAUCUUACCA